rnacentral:rRNA from 1 species
UACGGAGGGUGCGAGCGUUAAUCGGAAUUACUGGGCGUAAAGGGUGCGUAGGUGGUGAAUUAAGUUAUCUGUGAAAUACCUGGGCUUAACCUGGGCAGGUCAGAUAAAACUGAUACACUCGAGUAUGGGAGAGGGUAGUGGAAUUUCCGGUGUAGCGGUGAAAUGCGUAGAGAUCGGAAGGAACACCGGUGGCGAAGGCGGCUACCUGGCCUAAUACUGACACUGAGGGACGAAAGCGUGGGGAGCAAACAGGAUUAGAUACCCUGGUAGUCCACGCUGUAAACGAUGUCAACUAGCUGUUGGUUAUAUGAAGAUAAUUAGUGGCGCAGCAAACGCGAUAAGUUGACCGCCUGGGGAGUACGGUCGCAAGAUUAAA